ensembl:lncRNA novel transcript, antisense to KIF27
GAGCUUAGUAAUAGUCACCGGCAGGCAGAAUUCCUUAAAUAUUUGAAUUCUGCUGUAUCUUAGGCUCUCAUGUCUUCAAAUCUAUAACCCUUAGGCUCCAAUUUAAUACCUUGGGAGGACAGCCUGGCUCUCUGUUCCUCUGCACAGCUACCCAGCUUAAGUUAUAAAACAGGGCAACAGAGGUCUAUAAUGUUCCUUUCAACUGCCACUUAGCCCCCAAUCAAGGAUUGAUUUGUAAGUCAAUCCUUUCAUCAAUUCUCAGUGAGCAACAAUCUAAUGUUAUCCUUGCUCCUAUUUCUUAACUAGCCCCUAUAACUUCCUGUCACUUGCUCCAAACUAAAACAUUACAAGAUUCACCACUGUGUGUGAUUCUCAGCUAUUCACCUUCUCUUAGCAAUUUUCCCUUGGUUUGGUAAUGAUGAGACACCAACAAUAAAUAUUUGCAGAGGAAGUUCAGAUUCAAAAAUUCAUCUUUCUCUGAUGAAGUAAGGUAAAGGUACCACUGCCAACUGACUGAAAAUUUUGAAAAAAGACAAAGUCUGGGGCAAUUUGACAGCCCAUAAAUGAAUCAUCUUCUACAUAGUUUUAAAAAACUAUAACUAAAACUAUAGUUUUAAAAAAACUGUAUAACUAAAAGGUCUUUUACUGGGAUUGGAAUUUUGUGCAUCUAUUUGGCUGGACAUAGUAUGGACACUGGGCCUUCUAAACCAAGGUUUCAUGGAAAGAAUUAACCCCUAAUUCCUUAGGCAUCUCUUGUAUGUAAUAAAUUACCUAGUAUCAUUCAAGAAAUAUGUAUAGAGAAAAGUCAGGUGCCCUCCAGAAGAGUCCCUCAAAUCAUUUUCUAUGUUCUGUGAUUUCAGACGAGAAACCCCAGCUGAGGAGGCAAAUAUACUCAAGGAAAGUAAUAGUUUCCAAAUGCCUGGCAGUGCCAGGAAGGGGCCAUGUCCAUGGACCACUAUGUAAGGAUAUCUCAGUCUCUAGUCCAGCGUGGUUUAUGGUGCCAAAUAAGUGCCAGGUGAACUCACUACAUCUGACAAAAUCUCAAGGAACCAAGUUUACCAGAUAAUAUUUAUGAUUAUGUGAAAAAGACUGAGGAAAUCACUCAAGUGAUCCAUCAUACAGCACCUCCAGUUCCAAAGAAUACUGACUUACUUCAGCUGUACUGGUCUGGAGCUGCACAUUCUUUUCAGACAACUCUUGUUCCAGCUAGAGUGCAAUGGUGCAACCUCAGCUCACUGCAACCUCCGCUUCCCAGGUUCAAGCGAUUCUCCUGCUUCAGCCUCCCUGGUUGCUGGGAUUACAGGUGACUCUUCUCCUGUAACAGAGCCUCCUUCUUAGAAACUAUGGCCUCCCGUUUCUUUAAGUCUGCUUCCAGCUCCUCUAAUUCUUGGCGUUGGUUCAGAACUUUCUCUACUUCUUCAUCUAACCAUUUCUUUUGCUCAUCCAAUUUCUACAUUAAAAUUAAAAAAAAAGUUACUUGUUUUUCCUUCUGCCAUAAAAAUUAUAUGGUAAUAAUAGAAUUUCAGAUUGGCUGAAAUCUCUUAAAUGAACAUUUAAAAACUAUCACUCAGAGUAACUCAGGUAGCCGUCUGAGAUCCUAAAGACAUCAGUGGUUCUAGUCAAGAUGUAGCUAUGUUGUUUUAUAAAGAAUUAAAAUUUACUCCCCAGAUAUGUUAAACAGUCUAGGAUUUUUUAGCCUGACGAAGAAAGGGCUGAUAAUUUUCUAUGCCUAUAUUAAGAACAUGCUGGAAUCUUUUACUCUGUUGUAGUGGUGCACAGUUCCAUCACAGCACUUACACUGGUGGCUGCCCUACGUAUCUAUCUCCCCAGCUUGA